CAGCGGCUGACAUACUAUCAUUUUUCCUCAAAUGCUCCAUGCAGUGUACUCAUCAGACGGGGGCGGUGUUGUACCACUGGAUUACUGUCCUGCAAGCGCAUACAUGAUUUGUGCCUCUUAAGAAUUGGAUUGAAGUGUUGGAGCCAGUGUUGCUGAUUGGAAGUACUGCACUGCACAAACAUAAGGGUCGCGGGGGGUGCUGGAGCCUAUCUCAGCUGCAUUCGGGCGGAAGGCGGGGUACACCCUGGACAAGUCACCACCUCAUCGCAGGGCCAACACAGAUAGACAGACAACAUUCACACUCACAUUCACACACCUGGGCCAAUUUAGUGUAAAUAAUGUAAAUAACUAGAUGACCCAUCUGUGGCUGUGAAGUGAACACUAGUAAGGUUGUAAACAGUGUAAAUAGAGUAGGCUAACCCAUGUGGUUCCUGUGGAUGUGAACACAAAUUGGAAUUACUGUAGUGUCUAAAUAACAUAGUGACUGAAACAGACAUAGUGAUUCAUUUGGAUGAAUGGGGUGUGUAGUUAUGUCUUAGACUUAGACUUCCUUUUUUAUUGUCAUUCAAAUAUGAACUUUACAGUACAGAUAAGAACGGAAUUUCGUUGCAUUAGCUCAUGGUAGUGCAGGAUAUCAACUCUGUUGAUCAUUUUUCAAUUCUUUAAACACUAAAACAUCUUUAAAUUGUGUUGGGUUUUUUUUGGCUAAUUUUACAUGUUAAAUUGAUGAAAAACCAGGAGCUUCGGUUUCCGCCUUGUCCCCGCACCAGGGCACCUCCCUGGGCCUGCGGCCCCCAGACCCCCGGCUUAUUUUCAGUCUUUUUCUUUAAGUUCAAAUCACAUGCCUGGUGUAAGUAACGUAGCAUGUUAGACACUACUAAGUAUGUGUCUUAAGUGCUUUAAUUAUUUAUUUUUUAUUUUUUAAUUGGGAAAUAGGUUCUGUGCAGAGUUCUGCGCUCUGAGUUUUGGAUGUUAUUCCACUGUGCAUUGGUACCUAAUGUUGUGUCCGUAGAGUGUAUAGGUAGGCUUACUCAGCCUUGAAGUGGUCACACAAUAAUCAAAUGAAA